UUUUUAUUGAGACCAAUUUGGCCUGGGGAGAACCGCCUUCAGGCGUUUGGACUCAGUGGAGGUUGUGAGUGCCCAGCAGUGUGGCCUGAAUCUCCGUGGGGUUUAGGGAGACGAAAGGACCCCAGAUCGACGUCCCCUCGUUCCCACUUUGGGGAUCGGCGCUCUGGCUGUUUCGUGAAGGAGAGAGAGAUUGAUACUGGAAAAGCAGUUUCUAUUGAGCCCCCAAAUGAAGAGUGAGUGCAGAUGAAGAGGAGGCAGGACUCACAAGCCCUUGAACUUUAUUCCAGAUCUGUUAGCACCUACAGGACCCUGCACCAGGAUUUCAUCUGUACUAUCAGCUUCUUCAAAGAGAGAGAGGUUGUUGACUCUUCAUGUGGAUGUCUGAGCUCAUAUCAGGUGUCUGAAAGAGGCAGAUUCUGAGGAUUUGGGUCAUGAUGGCUGCCAAAGCUUCUACUCCUGACUUAAAGGGCAACAAUCCUAGGAGACCACCAGCACUUACAUCCCUGGUAGGACAUGACACCUGCUUAUGGCUCAGAAGUGACAAAAGAGAAUUAUCAGGAUGGCAGUCCUUAUAACCAGAUGCUUAUCAACAUUCUUCACUACAUUCUGAAGAUGAAUUUCUACAAGGGAAAUUGUUUAUAUUUGUUGUUGGGGAUAGAUAAGGAAAGAAGAAAAAGGCUCUGGUGAGAAACCCAUUGUACCUUCUGGAUAUGAUCACUACCCAAUUUUAUCAGUGUCAUUGAUCACUAACCCAGUGCCUCGUAUGGUGCCAGGCACAGAGUUACUCCAAGAAUGUACAAUAAUGGCUGGAUUCUCUUUCUCCCUGUGCAACUCUUCAUGCAUGUGACUGAACUUAUAUUAAGUGUCUGAAGGAGGUUCGUUCUGAGGAUCUGGGACAUGAUGGGUGCUGAAGCUUCUACUCAAGAUUUGAAGGGCAGCUGUCCUCAGGAGACCCCUGGCACUUCCCUCCAUGGUGGGAUGUGAUGCCUGAUUCCAGUGAGUUCAUAGAGCUGAACAAAAGUACGUUGUGGAAUAGCUCCUGUGAGGUUCACAACAUAGUCCGGAAGAUGAGAAACUACUUUUUUUAGUAACCUGGAUUCCCAUCUAAGAGAUGCCUUACUUUAUCGUAAAGCAAUGAGUUGUUCACUUGAGGAGGGAACUUCAUGUUUAACAUGUAUUUGCAACAAAUUUACAUACAUUUUCUGCCUGUAUGAAUAGUUGUCAGUGAUGCCCAUGAAUUUCUCAGAUGGAUGUUGAAGUAUACAGUUAGAAGGUUAGAAGAUCUUCCUAGCAAUCUGUGAUUACGGGAGGCAGCAGAUGGCUGAAAUUCUGAUCCGAUGUGGCUGGUUAAUGCAUGAUCUGAAAACCCCUGCACUGGUGAUUUUGGGACAGAUCUAGAAUAUACCAAUAAAUAUAUUAACAUACCAAGUAGUCUAGGAGCAGCCACUGGGCGAACACCAAACCUUGCAUCCCUGCUGCUGUCUCUGAGCUCAGCAGACACGUCUUUGCAGAAGAGUUCUAUAAUGGUGGUACAAUGGUGCCCCCUCGUGACAGAAGCUUGAACUACAGCUUGAACAUCGAGAUGAAAAUAUACUGUCUACGUUGUUCAACACAAUAGCUAAUGGCAACUGUGGCAGUUGAACACCCGAAACGUGAUGAAUGUGACUGAGGAACUGAACUUUUAGUUUCAUUGUGACAUGAUGAAUGAAUUUAUUGAGCCCCAGGAAGAAGGAAAAUUAAAGAAGAGCAAAGAAUAAUAGCUGGACAGAAGAUGGGGGUCAUUGAACCUAUAUCCUAGUUGCCAGACCAGUAAACUGACCAUGGGACCUGGGGGAGGCAGCAGAUGACCGAAAACCUGGAGUGAUGUGGCUGAAUACCGCAUGAUCUGAAGACUGCACUGGUGGCUGCGCCUUUUCAGCCUGGUUAGGAAACAUUGCUGGGGAACUAGUGCAGUGAUUUGGAGAACUGUCCUGUGGGGUAAAUGAGAAAUCCUAUACAGAGAAGAUGGCACCUAGAGAAAUCCUAUACAGAGAAGAUGGCACCUAGUCUUCAACAAAUAUUCAUCCUGGCCCACUUUUCUUCUCCUUCCCAGAGAAGUGAUGACUGUCAUCUAAACCAAACAGCAUAACUACCACAGAGACCAGCUGGUAAUGGAGCAGGAAGAAGUAGCAUAUACUUACAUUUAGUUUAUAAAUGAAGCUUUGGGGCUAUUUCUGUGAUGCAGGAUGGCUUUGCCAAGGAAUGUGGGAAGAGGGAAAAGAUCAUCAAACCAUUUCUUUAAUUCUGUGUCAUUUUUGCCCCAUUAUUUGAGCUUCUAUACUGAUAUUGGAAAAAUAGUUUCCUAUGGAGUGUCAAAUAAAGAAAGAGUGCAGAUAAAGAGGAGAGAGAAGUCACAUGCCCUUGACCCUCAUACCAUUACCACCUACAGGACUCUGAACCAGAAUUUCAUCUGCACCAGUGGGUAAUUCAAAGUGGGAGGAGUUGUUGAAUGUGUAUCCAUGAAGGCACAAUACUACAAACGUGUAAAACUACUAGGUUUUAAAUCCUAGAAUGUCAUGGUGUAUAAAAUAUUGAUAAUUAUUGCUUUGGUUUUGAAUUAGGGGAAAAUAUAUCCUCGUAUACUUGGAAGUGGCUCCCUCAGUAUCUUUUAUUCUUGAGCUUCAGGGAUAUUCUUCAUUCUAAAUGUGUAUCUCUUUCCUGUGGGUGGGGUAAGGAAUGCUUGAAUGUUCCUGACAAUGUUUUUGUAUAAUUGCAGGAGCAUUUGAUAUUUAUUACAGUUAUAAAUACAUAAGAAAUGAAAUAAACAGCAUUACUCUAAAACAAAAGAGAAUACCUGCUCUCAAAAUAUCUUGAGUAUUUCAAAGAGAAUACCUGCUAAUGCUUAUAUCUGUAUAAUAUUCUUUCACAAAUUUUCUUAUGCAGGUACUUAUAAAUUUAUGCAGAAAUGAAUACAUUUAUAUACUUAUCUACAAAAUAUAAGAUCUCAUUCUACAUUUAGUUUUAUAACCUGCUUGUCUCACUAAAACCAUACCUCAAAGGUCAUUGGUUGUGAGUAAAUAUGAGUCUUUACCACAGAGAUAGUAAAUACUAAUGGCCAAUAAAGACAGAGAAACAAAUAUGGCUACAAUAUGUUAUGUGCCAAGUGCUUUUUAGCUACUGAGUCGUUCAAUUCUCACGGCACCCUUACAAGGUUGAAACUGUUGCUGAUCUCCAUUUUGUAGAUGGAAAACUAAGGAGCAGAUAGAAUAAAAAUUUUACCUGAGACUGCACAGUUAGGGAGUGCGACAGCUUGGAUUUAUGUUCAGUACAUCAUGCUCCAGAGCCUGGGAAACUGUCAAGGCUCUGUUGUUAGGUGAAAGAAGCAACUACACAAGCAUGCAUAUUUUAGGAGCUCAUUAAAAGUAAUACUUCACAGGUUAAUACAUUUACACAAAAAACUGGACCUGGUGACAAAUAGGUGGAUUGCAACCUUGGUAAGAUCAUGUUCAUUGCAAUCCUGGCGACAGAAGCCACAGUGCAGGGGGAAGUGAAGAAUUUUAACAGGAAAUGUAGAAAACUCUCUUUGGUAGUUUAACUUUGAAGGGAAAGAGAUGGAGAUUCUGGCUGAAUGGGGAGAUUUUAAAAAAUAAUCAAUUUCUUGAAACUUGAGAAGGUUUUAAAAUGAAGAUACUUAGGGGUUUUGCUAAAUGAGAAGAUUUUAGCUGUUCUUGCCAUGCACAAAAAAAUGGGUAACUAUGUGGUAUUAUGAAUAUAUUUAUUUUCUUCACUAUAUAGUAACUAAUACUUUACUUUCUGUAUGUAUCUUAGAACAUCAUAUUGCAUAUCUUAAAUAUAGACAAUAAAUGUAUUUUUAAAAGUUAACGUGAUGAAGCUAUCUUAUCUCAGAUUUAACACUAGAAAUUGCUCAUUUUUUUUUUUUGGCUGGAGUACAGUGUUGCGAUCAUGGCUCACUGCAGCUUCAACCUCCUGGGGCUCCUGUGAUCCUCCCAGCUCAGCUUCCCGAGUAGCUGGGACCACAGGUGCAUAUCAACACACCCAGUUAAUUUUUUUUGUUUGUUUAUUUUUGUAGAGACGGGAGUCUCUUUAGGUUGCCCAGGCUGGUCUCGGACUCCUGGGCCCAAGUGAUCCUCCCACCUCGACCUCUUAAUGUGCUGGGAUUAUAGGUGUGAGCCACUUCACCCAGCACAUUUUCUUUCUUACGCUCUUAUUUUCACUUUAGAGCUCAUGAGAGGCCUCUAAUCGACUAGUAUGAGUUUUGAGCUAAAUAUGUAUUUAGUUAUUAGUGAGAAAAUGGACAAUGGGCAAUUGUGAGUCAAAUAAAUGCUAAAUUUUUGCCUCUCCAAGAAGGCAGCAGGUGGCUGAAAUCCUGGUGUGAUAUGGCUGAAUAAUGCAUGAUCUGAGGACCCUGUACUGGUUACUCCUGUACACGUUCACAAUUUUUCUGUAAAUGUAUUAAUAUACUGAGCAGUCCAGGAGCAGCCAUUAGGCAAACACCACUCCUUGCUUCCUUCAUGUGACCUAUCACUGAGCUCACCAGCUGAGGUCAAUUACAUUCUUCCCAACCUGGAGAACAGAAUUUGGGUCUGCUCAGAGGCAUGAUGUGAAACAUGUCUGGGAUAAAAGCUUUGUUCUAUUGACAGCAAACCUUUUUGUGUUAAGGGGUAGGGGAAGAGCAAGUGAAGGAUGCAGAUUAAUUUCUAUUUAGGAAUAUACUUUUAUAUAUUGUUUGAAAUUUUGUCUUUUAAAAAUAUUCAUACAAAUUUAAACAAAAAAUUACUUGUGAACAGAUUGACAAAUGUCAUGUGCACACAUAUUUAUUAAUUUGAAAAAGCAUUCACUGUGUUAAAUUUAUGGUGAAAUAAAGUUGAUUAAACUUUGAAA
rnacentral:lncRNA from 1 species